rnacentral:rRNA from 1 species
AACGAACGCUGGCGGCAUGCCUAACACAUGCAAGUCGAACGAGACCUUCGGGUCUAGUGGCGCACGGGUGCGUAACGCGUGGGAACCUGCCCUUAGGUUCGGAAUAACUCCCCGAAAGGGGUGCUAAUACCGGAUAAUGUCUUCGGACCAAAGAUUUAUCGCCUUUGGAUGGGCCCGCGUUGGAUUAGCUAGUUGGUAGGGUAAAAGCCUACCAAGGCGACGAUCCAUAGCUGGUCUGAGAGGAUGAUCAGCCACACUGGGACUGAGACACGGCCCAGACCUCCUCCGGGGGGAAGAGGGGGGAAAUAUGGAAAAGGGGGGGAAACCCUAAUCCAGAAAGCCGGGGGGGGGAAGGAGGCCUUAGGGGUGAAAAAGCUUUUUUCCCGGGAAUGAAAAGAACAGUCCGGGAGAAAAAACCCCGGGCAAACCCCG